AUGGAGUAAUGUUCAUAAAAAAAAAUUAAACGUAUCGUGUAUUUAAAGACAUUUUUUUUUCUGUUUGCGAAUUUAUUUGAUACAAAACGAUGUAUGUUUUUGCUCGUAAAUUUUUAAAAUUGUGCAAAGCAUAUAUAUACUAUAUUUACUGAUGAUACAUAAUAUUGUUUGUUUCAGCUAAUAGUAUGUAUAUUAUUAUUUACACACUGCAGAGUUCCCUAAAUUAAGUCAUUAAAAUGUCAUUAUCUCUUUCAUAAUUUUACUAUUAUUGAAAUACGCUACCACAGAAUAAUAUUAAUGUUAAAAUUAAAUCAACAUAUAAUUUAUAUCAUUUUGUAGGCACAACCUAGGGCUAUCGGCGGGAAAAGUCCGGCACAAGUGCGAACACUCGCACGGAUCGCCAAAAGACUCUUCCAUGGCCUAAAGGUAAAUAAUA